CAAUAGCGUAUAUUUAAGUUGUUGCAGUUAAAAAGCUCGUAGUUGGAUUUCGGUUAAGAGCGACCGGUCCGCCGUUUGGUGUGCACUGGUUGGUUUUAACUUCCUGUAGAGGACGUGCUCUGGGUUUAACGACCUGGACUCGGAGUCUACGUGGUUACUUUGAAAAAAUUAGAGUGUUCAAAGCGGGCUUACGCUUGAAUAUUUCAGCAUGGAAUAACACUAUAGGACUCCUGUCCUAUUUCGUUGGUCUCGGGACGGGAGUAAUGAUUAAGAGGAACAGUUGGGGGCAUUCGCAUUUCAUUGUCAGAGGUGAAAUUCUUGGAUUUAUGAAAGACGAACUUCUGCGAAAGCAUUUGCCAAGGAUGUUUUCAUUAA
rnacentral:rRNA from 1 species